UUUUCUUAUUUGCUUAAGUUUACUCAUGAACAAACCAGAACGUUAAGGCUGCCUUCAAAGCAGCAGGAAGAAUAUACAUAGAAAAAUCACUGAACAAAAGCACGGAGCUUUAGCACAAAGGAGGUGUAGCUGGAAGCAAGAUUUUAGGAGUUCACUGAACUGAAAGGCCAAGGUAAAGCAAGGGUAAGGCUGUGGCUUUCCUCUGGGUUAGAAGCCAGAACUUGACCAACAGGGAAAACAAACGUUGAAACCAAACACUUUGUAAAAAUUUGUUAAUUUUUACUAAAAUGCUGCUUUCAAGCUUCUAUCCACCUGCUUGAGGGCGACGGCUGCUCUGUGAUGACAGCAGGCUGGGGAUGCUUGCUGAGAGCGCUGUGUUACUGCAACAUGGUGGCGUGCUUCGCUUCUUCAUGGGUUUAGCGUGUUCCUUCUCAGACAGCAAGUGCCACAUCACACUCAGUCUUACCCUCGGUUUCUGGCUCACUAGUUGGGUAUGACAGAAAGGGCCAGGAAGUAAUGGAGGGAUCGUGGUGCAAUCCAAGGCCUAGGCUAGAUCAUAUAACAUAGGCCUCAUGUUGGCUUGAUUCUGAAUUUCGCAGAGGCAGGAAUCCCUAAAUAAUUUUAAGCAGCUAAGGUGAAAAAGUUUUAUGUACAGUUACCAGCCUCCCCCAGCCUCUCCUGAUGACGUCCCCCUCAUGUAUUUCACACGUCUCUGAUUUGUCACCUGCCAGCCCUCCCCUUGGUUUUGAUGCCCAAUGACCCUCUUCAGUUGUUUCCUGUGUUGAACUUUGUGAUACAUUCACUGCACUAACUCUGGGCUGGAUACAGAACUUUUCUCCUCUUCCUCAUCUAGUGGCCUAGUUUUAUUUUUCCUUUAUUCCCUGAACUUUGGUUGAAGCUUUACCCUCUGAUAGAAGCAUUAAACCAGCGUUAGCCUAAGAAGUCAGCCUCAUUUAACUGCAAGGAUUCUGGUAAAUGUCACUCACCAUCCCAUCCAAGCCUAGGACACUGCACAGCCCCCCUUUGAUUUGCUUCCUUCACUGCUGCAGUGACAUGAAACCACUGAACCUAGUUUAACCUCACUGCUCAACAGCAUCCAGCCCUGUGAUUCCACUUUUCAUGACAACCGUCCUCCUUUUGCCAUUGAGGCUGACACCCAGGAUACUCUUGCUCCUUCAUAUCUUUCCCAAUCUUCCCUUCAGCUUUCUCUGGGUAUAUCCACAGC
rnacentral:lncRNA from 1 species